AUAGAACUACCUUUAUGUUGGCAAUAAUACAUGUGUCGUGCUAAAAAAGUUAAUCGACUUGUCUUCGAAUCUAUUUUCUGUCAUGGAUAACAACACUACUAAAGUUGCUCUUAGCACCCACCAAGUCUUUGGAUAAAACACUCUCUGUUACAAAGUUGCAGAAGCCAUGGGCUUUAAUAUUUACAGGCAUCAGAUAAGUUAAAUGCUUGCUAUGCAAGAUUGUUAAACUAUUUCCAGACUCACUUCAGUGGUUUAGCAUAAAGUACAUAAAUACAAAUUUAAUAUAACAUUUUUUACAUUAAUAAAGACUGGAUUCCUAAAUUGUCAUUGUUGAAUUUUAAGAUAAUUAAGUAAUAAUAUGUUUUUGGAUCUACAAUGAGGAUUGAAUCUCACCUAUCUUCAAUGACAUUGAUUUGUAUGAUUAUAAGUAUAUAUGAGAAAAAAAUAAGUUGAAUUUACCCAUGCGUGAACAACACAACUCCUAGAUUGAAUUAAUUAGGCAUUAUAUGGGUGACAAAGGUAGUAAUGAAGAGACUUCCUUUGAAGAAUUUAUUAGUUCCUGCCUGCAGGAAACUAUAGCAAAGGCCUCAAAUGGUAAAUUGUGAUUAAUCUUUCCCCCUUUCAGUCAAUCAGCUUUCGAGAAAGAUCUGCAUAAUUUUAUUUCCAAACUAUAUUCUAAAGAAGCUGCUCAUUUUUUACUCCAAAAUUUUGAUACACAGUAUUUUGGCCAUCUUUGAUUGGCAAACCACACGACUAACAGAGGAAUUCAGGGCAGUGUAACAAAGGUCUUGGGGUAUGCGUUUCUGAAAAUUCAGGGCAGUGUCAGGAAUCGAACAGUUUAGAUGCCUUGUCAUUGCUUCCACAUUUUGCAGACAGGCCUAACAUGGAGGCACUAGGGUGGAAUUAGGGCCUUACGCCAGGUGUAUAAGAGUUGUCUCAUGAACGCACUGUAAAGCCCUUCCUCACGUCUUUCAACACCACGUAUCACUCAUGUUCCAACAACUGGAAUGAAUUUCAGAAUCAGCUCCUCGCGUCUGAUGCACACAUACGUAUUUUUCUCUGAUUAUUUCCCUUUUCCUUGCUUUGGUACUUAUGUUCCGAUGUUUAUCAAUCGUGAAAGGGUUAGAGAUUUUUUCAUUUAGGGUAAGCUAGAAGAGCAAGAACAAUGAAUUUUGGCUAAGUAGUCAGAAACACUCAAGUGCUUGAUAUCAUGGGCAGAAAUAUUGAUCCUGGAUGCAACAGAACUGAUGGGUUCAAUAAUAUUACAAAGAUAAAUUAAACAAGAACAAUCAAGAGGUUUGGUUGUUUCCGUCCAAGUGGAGAUGGAGCACAAACCUGAAACUAAAAUUGCAAGAAAAAAACUGGUUUUUGAGAUUCCAUUCAUUUUUUUAGUCUUGAUUUAAUUAGCACAUGCCUUUGUGCAAACCCCAAAAAAAAUAAUUUGGAAUUGGAGUUUGGUUCUAUAAAGCUUCUUGCUUCUGUAAUUUACAUUUUCUAUUUAUGUUCUCGCCCACGGCCCGUGGCUGGAUCAAAUCCAUCCAGGCCCAACUGACGUUGAUGACUGGAUAUGGACAUCUAGCUCUGGAACCGUGCGAGGGCUGGGACAGGCUCUGUUGCUUUAGGUGCUGCCCCCUACUUAUCUAUAGGCGACUGGAUCAACUCGGUAAGCUUGUGAAAGGUUAUAAGCCCGGCCAACGGGCCAAACAUCAUGAAAAGAGAACCAAGCAAGCCGUGAUGCAGUAUUUGAGGUAUAUGCGUGUAAAAGAUCUGCUAGUUUUUUAACGUUUUGGAGUGCUUUUAUGUGUGGCCCUUUUUUGGGCAUAUGCACAUCUAUUGACUGCGAGUGGAGCUUAAAAGGGCAGUUCUGACUUAACAAAAGUCCACUGCUGUACUGAUCAAUCACACCUAUUAUCAUCCACUCCCUGGGUGAAAUUUCCCUACCCACUUCAAUGGGGAGCCCCUACCUUUAAUGCUGGCCAUACAUUUGGAAUGAUGGCUCCAAUUUUAGUUUCCAUGAUUGAGUCAACUGCAGCAUACUUGGCUGCAUCCAGGAAUGCCAGUGCGACACCUCCUCCAACAUAUGUUCUUAGUCGUGGCAUUGGUUGGCAGGGCAUUGGGAUACUCCUGGAUGGUCUUUUUGGAACAGGAACUGGUUCAACAGUUUCAGUUGAGAAAGUUGGACUUCUUGGGGUAACUCGAGUUGGUAGCCGCCGUGUGGUGCAGAUUUCUACAGGGUUCAUGAUAUUAUUUUCAAUCUUAGGAAAAUUUGGAGCCCUCUUUGCAUCAAUACCUUUCCCAAUUUUUGCUGCAUUGUAUUGUGUUCUAUUUGGGCUAGUUGCGGCAAUUGGUCUUUCCUUUUUACAGUUCACAAACAUGAACUCUCUGCGGAACCUGUUCAUUACUGGAGUUUCUUUGUUCCUUGGAUUGUCCAUCUCUCAGUACUUUAAUGAAUUUGAUACGGCACAAAAAGCCAAGUUGGUAUUUCUCAAGGCCUGAUGGUAUCUUCUUCUAAAGCUCCUUAUCCUUUCCAUGGACCUGUUCAUACAGGGGCUAGAUGGUUCAAUGAUUUUCUAAACACAGUUUUCACUUCAGCACCAACCAUUGCACUAAUAAUUGCAGUAUUCCUAGACAAUACACUACAAGUUCACAACGCGAAGAAGGAUAGAGGAAUGCCUUGGUGGGUUAAAUUCUGAACAUUCAAAGGGGAUAGCCGUAACGAGGAGUUCUACACACUUCCAUUCAAUCUCAAUACAUUCUUCCCUCCUACAUGAAAAUAUUUAUUAUCUUUUAUAAAUGUGAGCAUACAAAGGAAACUGAAAGAUUUCAUCUCAAACAUGUGAGUGGAUUUGAAGUUGAUAUGAAUUCUGGUAGGUCAUUGAUCAGUGCUUGUGCUGUUGGCAAUUAAAAUGCAUCUUUUCUCAAUUGCAUUUGCCACAAUCAUUGUUCUUAUGAGGUGGGCUUUGAUUGCCUCUUGAUUGUUUUUUUCAUCAAACUUACCAUCCAUUUUUUAUCAAAAUGAAUAUCUGAUUAAAAAGUGAGUGACAAUUGCAAUGCAAAA